AUCCUCACACAACUUUUUGCAUUUAGAAGAUGUUGCCAUUCAGUCAAAUACUGUAAAUUAGUUUACAGUGGAAAUAAGUUACAUCAGUAAGCUUGUAAUUAAGUUCAUGGUUAGCUAAUUGCUUCACUAAAUUUAUGCUUAGAAUGGGUAUGAGUUUGGGGGUUUGAAAUUUGAUCAGAGUGUAACAUUUGUAUGUAUUUCAAACGAUUUUUGUCAUAGUGUAUUUUCAGAAACAUGACUGAGUGAGCACUCUUGGCAGCAAACUAUCUUUGACGUCUAUUUCUCCGGUAACCAUGCCAACAAGAAUUUAGGCAGUUGGAAGAAGGUCAACGGCACGUGAGCACUUCGUACUUUGGAAAAAUGUCAUUUUGCAUUGUUUCAAUGCCACCGCCUACCUGAGCACCAACUGAAGGCCACCUCCACAGAAACUACGCACCACGUCUCAAAGCUCAGAUGAUUUAAAAACGGCUUCUUGAACAUGACCAGCUCCAAUCCAGCAUCUCAACCAGCAGCCGAUAAAUUAACUGUGAGGCGUCAAAACGGACAAACAUUUCUGCCGUCUCGGAAUGCCGACAAAGUUUUGCACACGUUUGUAAUGAAACGCAGCUAAUGGAUCCUUCAGAGACUUUGCUGCCAGUGACACCAUUUAUCCCAGCAUGGAUGGAGAACGCAAACAUCGUACUACAGAAAGAGCAGUGCUACUUAAACAUAUUGUAUAAAAGUAUAAAGCAUAAAAGUAUCUGUCCAAGAAAUUACUCAAGAGUAAAACAAGUAUCUGUCCAAAGUUUCAACUCAGGUACUGAGAAACUGAUCAAAACCUAAAUCAUUUAAUAUUUAAAAAUUGCAUCACACAGCCCAAACUAUAAAGUGGAU